rnacentral:rRNA from 1 species
UACGUAGGGACCGAGCGUUGUCCGGAUUCAUUGGGCGUAAAGAGCUCGUAGGCGGCUGCUCAAGUCGAAUGUGAAAACUCGAGGCUCAACCUCGAGCCUGCAUUCGAUACUGGGCGGCUAGAGUCUGGUAGGGGGAUCUGGAAUUCCUGGUGUAGCGGUGGAAUGCGCAGAUAUCAGGAGGAACACCGGUGGCGAAGGCGGGAUCCUGGGCCAGUACUGACGCUGAGGAGCGAAAGCGUGGGAGCAACAGG